UGCCAGGCUUUCCAUGUUCUUGGUUAUAAGGACACAACAAAUGUAGUUUGAGAAAGAAAUAGAGAAGGGGUUGUAUUCCUUUACUGAAUCAUCACAAAUUAACUUAAUAUGCUGGCACUUAAUGACACAUAACAUGAAAUUUGGUGAAGUUUUAUUGGGAGACCUUUCUUCUCGGCCAUAAAUCAGUCGAAAGGGGGAUAUUUUUGUUGUCAUCUGAGGUUUAGAGGACAAAGAAAAGAAAGUUGCUCCAGGAAAUUCAUCACAAUUCCUCUGGGUUCUGUCCACCACCUUCUGGAAUGCUCUGUAAAAAUAGUGACCGAUUGGUCCAAUUCCUUGAUAUUAGCGAUUGAACUUAAUUUCUGGAAGAGCUGGCUGAGCAGAGUGUGAUGGGAGGCACAUCACAUGGCAUUGCUAGGACUACUUUUUGUUUUAAACGUGAUGCGUUAUGAACAUUUUCAAUGUAAUCAUUCAGUUUUGAAGAUUUAUUCACAAUACGCCAUCCAUGGCAGAGUGCCCUAAACUUACGUUGAUUAUUUGAAAAUAAAUACCCUCACGUUA